rnacentral:rRNA from 1 species
CACGUAGGGGCCAAGCGUUGUCCGGAUUCAUUGGGCGUAAAGAGCUCGUAGGCGGCUUGUCACGUCGAUUGUGAAAGCCCGAGGCUCAACCUCGGGUCUGCAGUCGAUACGGGCUAGCUAGAGUGUGGUAGGGGAGAUCGGAAUUCCUGGUGUAGCGGUGAAAUGCGCAGAUAUCAGGAGGAACACCGGUGGCGAAGGCGGAUCUCUGGGCCAUUACUGACGCUGAGGAGCGAAAGCGUGGGGAGCGAACAGG